rnacentral:tRNA from 1 species
UCCCUGGUGGCUCAGUUGGUAAAGAAUCUGCCUGCAAUGCAGGAGACCUGGGUUCGAUCCCCGGGUUGGGAA